rnacentral:rRNA from 1 species
UAAAACGUAGGAGGCGAGCGUUAUCCGGAUUUACUGGGUGUAAAGCGCGUGCAGGCGGUCGUGUAAGUGGUGCGUGAAAGCUCCCGGCUCAACCGGGAGAGGACGUGCCAAACUGCAGGGCUAGAGGCAGGUAGAGGCGUGUGGAAUUCCGGGUGUAGUGGUGAAAUGCGUAGAGAUCCGGAGGAACACCAGUGGCGAAGGCGACACGCUGGGCCUGGCCUGACGCUCAGACGCGAAAGCAUGGGGAGCGAACGGGAUUAGAAACCCCGGUAGUCCAUGCUGUAAACGAUGCUGACUAGGUGUUGCGGGUGAGAUACUCCGGCAGUGCCGAAGCCAACGUGGUAAGUCAGCCACCUGGGGACUACGGCCGCAAGGUUAAAACUCAAAGGAAUUGACGGGGGCCCGCAC